UUUGAUCAUGGCUCAGAUUGAACGCUGGCGGCAGGCUUAACACAUGCAAGUCGAGCGGUAACAGGGGGAGCUUGCUCCCCGCUGACGAGCGGCGGACGGGUGAGUAAUGCAUAGGAAACUGCCCAGUAGUGGGGGAUAGCCCGGGGAAACCCGGAUUAAUACCGCAUACGCCCUUUGGGGGAAAGCAGGGGAUCUUCGGACCUUGCGCUAUUGGAUGUGCCUAUGUCGGAUUAGCUAGUUGGUGGGGUAAGAGCCUACCAAGGCGACGAUCCGUAGCUGGUCUGAGAGGAUGAUCAGCCACAUCGGGACUGAGACACGGCCCGAACUCCUACGGGAGGCAGCAGUGGGGAAUAUUGGACAAUGGGGGCAACCCUGAUCCAGCCAUGCCGCGUGUGUGAAGAAGGCUUUCGGGUUGUAAAGCACUUUCAGUGAGGAGGAAAACCUUAAGUUUAAUACGCUUGAGGCUUGACGUUACUCACAGAAGAAGCACCGGCUAACUCCGUGCCAGCAGCCGCGGUAAUACGGAGGGUGCAAGCGUUAAUCGGAAUUACUGGGCGUAAAGCGCGCGUAGGUGGUUUGAUAAGCGAGAUGUGAAAGCCCCGGGCUCAACCUGGGAACGGCAUUUCGAACUGUCAGGCUAGAGUAUGGUAGAGGAGUGUGGAAUUUCCUGUGUAGCGGUGAAAUGCGUAGAUAUAGGAAGGAACACCAGUGGCGAAGGCGGCASUCUGGCCA
rnacentral:rRNA from 1 species